UACGUAGGGAGCGAGCGUUGUCCGGAUUCAUUGGGCGUAAAGCGCUUUAAGGCGGUUCGCUAAGUCGGAUGUGAAAUCCCCAAGCUUAACUUGGGAACUGCAUCCGAUACUGGAUGGCUUGAAUCCGGGAGAGGGAUGCAGAAUUCCAGGUGUAGCGGUGAAAUGCGUAGAUAUCUGGAGGAAUACCGGUGGCGAAGGCGGCAUCCUGGACCGGCAUUGACGCUGAUGAGCGAAAGCUAGGGGAGCAAACGGG
rnacentral:rRNA from 1 species